CUUCGGGUAAUGAGGAUGGCGGACGGGUGAGUAACGCGUAAGGAACUUGCCUCUUGGACUGGGACAACUGUUGGAAACGACAGCUAAUACCGGAUAUUAUGAGAUUCUCGCAUGAGAAACUUAUGAAAGCUAUAUGCGCCAAGAGAGAGCCUUGCGUUCCAUUAGCUAGUUGGUGGGGUAACGGCCCACCAAGGCGACGAUGGAUAGCCGGCCUGAGAGGGUGAACGGCCACAAGGGGACUGAGACACGGCCCUUACUCCUACGGGAGGCAGCAGUGGGGAAUAUUGGACAAUGGGCCACAAGCCUGAUCCAGCAAUUCUGUGUGCACGAUGAAGGUCUUCGGAUUGUAAAGUGCUUUCAGUUGGGAAGAAGAAAGUGACGGUACCAACAGAAGAAGCGACGGCUAAAUACGUGCCAGCAGCCGCGGUAAUACGUAUGUCGCAAGCGUUAUCCGGAUUUAUUGGGCGUAAAGCGCGUCUAGGCGGAAAAAUAAGUCUGAUGUUAAAAUGCGGGGCUCAACUCCGUAUUGCGUUGGAAACUGUUUUUCUAGAGUACUGGAGAGGUGGGCGGAACUACAAGUGUAGAGGUGAAAUUCGUAGAUAUUUGUAGGAAUGCCGAUGGAGAAGUCAGCUCACUGGACAGAUACUGACGCUGAAGCGCGAAAGCGUGGGGAGCAAACA
rnacentral:rRNA from 1 species